AUUUACUGCCAUCUUUUGACAGAUGUUUAAAACUUUUAGAACGCCAUUUAACUUUGAUCCUUAUUCUUUCACUGAUAUGUGUUAAAUUUGUUAAAUAUCAAAAAUGAAAGAAUAAGGAUCAAAGUCAAAUGGCGUUCUAAAAGUUUUAAUCAUGUGUCGAAAGAUGGCAGUAAAUUUACUGUGACUACAAAAUUUACUUUGACAAUACACCUCUAUU